AUACAUAGGGGGCAAGCGUUAUCCGGAAUUAUUGGGCGUAAAGGGUGCGUAGGCGGUCUAUUAAGUUUAAGGUAUAAGUGCAAGGCUCAACCUUGGGAGGCUUUAGAAAAUGGUAGGCUAGAGAUAGAUAGAGGCAAGUGGAAUUCCAUGUGUAGCGGUAAAAUGCGUAAAUAUAUGGAGGAACACCAGUGGCGAAGGCGGCUUGCUGGGUCUAUACUGACGCUGAGGCACGAAAGCGGGGGGAGCAAACAGGAUUAGAUACCCUGGUAGUCCACGCCGUAAACGAUGAGUACUAAGUGUUGGGGGAACCCAGUGCUGUAGUUAACAUAUUAAGUACUCCGCCUGAGUAGUACGUACGCAAGUAUGAAACUCAAAGGAAUUGACGGGG
rnacentral:rRNA from 1 species